rnacentral:rRNA from 1 species
UACGUAGGGGGGCAAGCGUUGUCCGGAUUUAUUGGGCGUAAAGAGCGUGUAGGCGGCCAGGUAGGUCCGCUGUGAAAACUCGAGGCUCAACCUCGAGAUGUCGGCGGAAACCAUCUGGCUAGAGUCCGGAAGAGGAAAGUGGAAUUCCCGGUGUAGCGGUGAAAUGCGCAGAUAUCGGGGAGGAACACCAGUGGCGAAGGCGGGUCUCUGGACAGUUCCUGACGCUGAGGCACGAAGGUCAGGGGAGCAAACGGG